rnacentral:lncRNA from 1 species
UUGUAAUGAGGACUUAUUUGAUUGUGGAUAUUGUCUAGAAGACAAUAUUUGUAUUUAAACUUACAGUUUAUGUUGUUGUAUUUUGCACGACAAUUGUAUUAUUGAAGUUGUAGUUUUCUUUCUGUACCAUGUAUUUGGCGACUCAGAAUGGGUGUUGUAUACCUAUUUUGGGGGCGUCACAUAAAUCAUCAAAGAUGAAGAACGUUUUGAGUAAGACAUCUCCGUAUGUCAUGAAGCCGUAAACUGGUAAUGAAAGUUAGUCGCGUAAAAUUAUAUUGCAAGAACACGAACCUUAAGAAGUAAAGUUAAGUAAAUCAAUGCG